rnacentral:tRNA from 1 species
GCAAUGGUGGUUCAGUGGUAGAAUUCUCGUUUUCCAUGCAGGAGACCUGGGUUCAAUUCCUGGCCAACACA